AGGGUUAGGUCAGUAACUUGAAAUCAUCGAUGUCCAUGCUGGUCUGUGUCCAGAAAUAAUGACUUUGAUAGUGGGAGGAAGAAGAGGAAUUUUCCAAACAGCCCCCACAAUUCUAUCCUAAGGACUCUGAGAAUAGUUGAUUGCACAUGAGGCUACUUUAUAAGUGGAGUGGCUCCAGAAAUUAACUUACGUUACUGGGUGUAAAAGAUAUCCAUUCUGACAUUCUCACUUAAUAAAUAUUUGGGCUAAGGAUAAGCCAAAGUCAUGCUGGACAUUAACAAGUCUUUUGACUUGGUGAACAGUGUGGUGCCACACUUACUGGCAGUUGAAUUGAAAUAAAGUUGAAUUGAACUAAAAGCAUCUUACUUUCUGUAACAUCUUCAAGAAGGUGUUAACAGGUUAGACACUCCCUUAGCACACAUCCUUAAUGUUUUAAACAUUACUCUUUGCACUUUUUGGUUCUGUUCCUAGGUAAUAGAAAUUGGGGGCACCUGGUAAGUCCUUGAUUAGUGUCAGGCACCAGUGGGAUAUACACUUUCUCUAUAGGUCAUGAACUCAAAAAGACGGUGGUCUACUGUGGAUGAUCCCGUUAGUUGCCUACCUAGAUUUACUUCUUCAGCCCCUUCCUUGCUGGCAGAGCUAUUUUGUUCAGGAGCUAAUGGGCCCCAAACUAGCCCUUCCAUUCUCCUUUCUGAUUAGUGGCUUAAUUAUCUUAAUAUUGUAAUGUUCUAUUCUGAUGAUGGUGAUGAUGAUGAUGAAGGCUAACACUUACUAAGCAUUUACUCUGUGCUAGGUACUUUUUAAAGAACUUUAAAAGGUAUCAACUCAUUUCGAUACAGGAGUUAAGAAGAAAUUGCUUAGGCAGAUAGUGAGGGUAUGGGAGUCCUCAGUAAGGUUUCCCUUUUAAUAAAAAGCAGCCGCCAAUCAUUUUCUUUUCUAACAAAGAGCAGCCUGUAAAAUCGAGCUGCAGACAGACAAGCAAACUAGGAGCUUGCACAGGUGAAUUCUGGCAGUUGUGCCCAUAGGAAUAUACUACCUGGGAUGAGGCAUGUUCAAAGUGGCGGCCCCAUCUUCUCUUUUUGCCAGCAACGUGUACAGUAAGGAGCAGACUAGAUGGCACUGCCCAAGUGGAAAGCCCAUUUGUAUAAUAAGAUUAGGGUUGGGAGACCAGCCUUCCCCUUGCUACAUAAACGUUACACCUGGUCAAACCAAUCUGUGAGCCCUACAUAAAUCAGACACUGCCUCCUCAAACCUGCUUAUAAAAUCUGCUGUGGUCCGCCCAUGUCCCUUUUUUCAGACGUCUUACAAGGAGCUGCUCUCCUCUCCCCUUUCUUCUGGCUAUUAAACUUUCCGCUCCUUAACCCACCCACAUGUGUCCCUUUCCUUAAUCCUCUUGGCAGGAGAUGCUGAACCCUGGAUAUUUACUCCAGACGGUGAUGCCACUUCAAUUUCAUUCUUGUAAACCAAAAGAGAUAGUUCUCAAUCAAUUUAGAAAGUUUAUUUUGCCAAGCUUAAGGACGCACCCUGACAUAGCCUCAGGAGGUCCUGCCGACCUGUGCCCAAGGUGGUUGGGGUACAUCUUGCUUUUAUACAUUUUAGGGAGACAUGAGACAUCAAUCAAUAUGUGUAAGAUGUACAUCUGUUCACUUCGGUAAGGCGAGACAACUUGAGGGAGAGCUUCCAAAUCCUAAGUAGAUAAGAGACAGAAGGUUGCAUUCUUUUGAGUCCUUGAUCAGCCCUCCACUGAAUACAAAAUUUAGUCUGGCUCAGUGCAUUUGCAUUUUUACAUGAACAAUAGGGCAGAGAAAGCAAUCAGAUAUGCUCUUGUCUCACGCAAGCCUCAGAGGGAUGACAUCGAGAUCUGUCUGUACUUUGUCCGUAAGGAAUUUUCUUGUGGGCAAAUUGUGAGGGAGGUAUGUAGCUUUUUAUCUUUGUAGCUAUCUUAUUUAGGAAAAAAAUGGGAGGUAGGUUUACCUGACAUAGUUCCCAGCUUGUCUUUUCCCUUGGCUUAGUGAUUUGGGGGUCCCGAGAUUUAUUUUCCUUUCACAUUCUCCUAAUAAAGCCAUGAGGAAGGUACCAUUAUUAAACCAAAGCCCAGAGAGACUAACUUGCCUAAAGUCACGCAGCUAGAAAGCAGCAGCUGAACCCCCGUAGUCUGAUUCUAGAGUAUUCCCUCUUAACCACUAUGUCUUGUAAGCCAAUGAGACAAGAAGGCUGCUGGAGGAACAUCUGGGACACUUUAGAGGAGUCACGGCUGAGUAUGUUGGAGUAAAAAGAUGGAAGCCACUAAACAUUUUGAAGACAUCCUUGAGCAAGGUUGAAUUAACUAACCUUGGAGCUACUCUACCUCUGGAAUUGUUUUUC
rnacentral:lncRNA from 10 species